UACGUAGGGGGCAAGCGUUGUCCGGAUUUAUUGGGCGUAAAGAGCGUGUAGGCGGCCUUGCAAGUCCGUUGUGAAAACUCGAGGCUCAACCUCGAGACGCCGGUGGAAACUGCAAAGCUAGAGUCCGGAAGAGGAGAGUGGAAUUCCUGGUGUAGCGGUGAAAUGCGCAGAUAUCAGGAGGAACACCCGUGGCGAAAGCGGCUCUCUGGGACGGUACUGACGCUGAGACGCGAAAGCGUGGGGAGCAAACAGG
rnacentral:rRNA from 1 species